GCAAAAUUAGAGAAAAAUUGAAAGUCAAGUAAAUUUUGAGUAGAUUCUUAAAUUGGUACAGAACUUUUUCCGUGGCAAAACUUGAUCUGUGUGGGGGGUUUCUACAUUCAGCUACGAAGAAAAGUUAUCUUCAGUCAUAUAACACUCAUAACUGGAACAAUUCUUCAAAUUCUGAUUAACUGGAAGAUUUUGCAGCUGUAAAACGAGGUGAUUAAGACAUGUCAGCGCUGUUCAAUUUCCAUUCAUUCCUUACAGUUGUUUUGUUAGGCAUAUGUGCCUGCACAUAUGUGAAGAUACAGUUCCCUGCUCUUCUUGAACAGAGAACAGGGUUUCGAGGUGUAUUCUGGAAGGCUGCUAGAAUAGGGGAGCGACUGAGUCCUUGGGUGGCUGUUGGAUGUUUCACAAUGGGCGUGUCUAUCAUAUUCUUCUGAAGAAGAUGCAUUAGGCUCCAGUGACAAUGUUUGUCCUCGUCGGCAGGUUUAUUGUCCUCAUCUGCAGGUUUGUCUUCGUCGGCAUCUUCGGUAAGGCCGUCGACGUCGAUGGCCUCCAUGCUGGCGGUCUUCUUGUGUGAGGUGGAAUCGAGGACAUGCUGGUAAUUUCCCUUCUCCAUGAAUAGCUGCUGGAAGUGGUGCUUGCAGUAGAGCACCCCAUCUAGGGCUGCGUAGUUGGAGUGGGUAAGGGGGCAACCCCCAUGGGCACACUUGAAGCAUGACUUGUGCAAAUUAUGGAGAAGAUGCAAUAGUAGAAGUAUAAAAGGUACAUUGAGAUUUCAGACCAGUUUGAAAAUUCUUGCUGAAAUUUCCAGACUCCUUGAAAAGCUGUUCAAAAUGAGUCUUGCAGUAGAGUACGCCAUCCAUGGAUGAGUAGUUGCUCAUCUGUGAGAGAUACAAUUGUAUCAAGAAUCAUAGAGAGAGAUAUGUAUAUAUGGAGUACUCCUACAAUAUAAAUACAUACAACAAGGGUGCCCUUGCAGUGGCUGCAUUUGAAGCAGGCUUUGUGGUAGUUGGCGCCAUCAGCAGACAAGAGAUCGACGAAAUAAACAGUCUUGUCGCAGGCCUUGCAUUUAUCCUGAGUUCCUGUGAAUGAUGAUGCCAUGGAUUAAUUAAUUAAGGCAAGGCCUAUUCUAUCAAGAGCUGGGAAUUUAGGCAUUAAAUGGGAAUCUGAUUCAAAUUAUGUAAAGAAAUUCCUGGUUCCCAAACCACACACAUGCUUUUAUACCCACCUAAUUAUUCUAUUUCUUGUGGUGGAAUGUUGAUUGGACAUCCCAUAAUCCAGGGAAAUGGAUGGAGCUUGCUACUCAUGGUAGUUACUCUUUCUUUCAUUUUUCCACUCUUUAUGUAAUUAAAUUAUUGUAUUUAUGAGUACUUUUUUGACAUAAUGA